rnacentral:rRNA from 1 species
CAUGCCUAAUACAUGCAAGUCGAACGAGAGGAAGGAAAGCUUGCUUUUCUGAAUCUAGUGGCGAACGGGUGAGUAACACGUAGGUAACCUGCCCAUGUGCCCGGGAUAACUUCUGGAAACGGAUGCUAAAACCGGAUAGGUAGCAGACAAGCAUUUGACUGCUAUUAAAGUGGCUUUGGCCAUGAACAUGGAUGGACCCGCGUUGGAUUAGGCAGUUGGCGGGGUAACGGCCCACCAAACCGACGAUCCAUAGCCGGCCUGAGAGGGUGGACGGCCACAUUGGGACUGAGACACGGCCCAAACUCCUACGGGAGGCAGCAGUAGGGAAUUUUCGUCAAUGGGGGGAACCCUGAACGAGCAAUGCCGCGUGAGUGAGGAAGGUCUUCGGAUCGUAAAGCUCUGUUGUAAGAGAAAAACGGCACUCAUAGGGAAUGAUGAGUGAGUGAUGGUAUCUUACCAGAAAGUCACGGCUAACUACGUGCCAGCAGCCGCGGUAAUACGUAGGUGGCGAGCGUUAUCCGGAAUGAUUGGGCGUAAAGGGUGCGUAGGUGGCAGAUCAAGUCUGGAGUAAAAGGUAUGGGCUCAACCCGUACUGGCUCUGGAAACUGAUCAGCUAGAGAACAGAAGAGGACGGCGGAACUCCAUGUGUAGCGGUAAAAUGCGUAGAUAUAUGGAAGAACACCGGUGGCGAAGGCGGCCGUCUGGUCUGGAUACUGACACUGAAGCACGAAAGCGUGGGGAGCAAAUAGGAUUAGAUACCCUAGUAGUCCACGCCGUAAACGAUGAGAACUAGGUGUUGGGGGAAUAACUCAGUGCCGCAGUUAACGCAGUAAGUUCUCCGCCUGGGGAGUAUGCACGCAAGUGUGAAACUCAAAGGAAUUGACGGGGGCCCGCACAAGCGGUGGAGUAUGUGGUUUAAUUCGAAGCAACGCGAAGAACCU